GUUUCAAUUCCUCAUAGGCAGGCUAUCGGCCCGCUCUGACGAACCGGGCCUCUUCGAUUCGCCCUAG
rnacentral:sRNA from 1 species